rnacentral:rRNA from 1 species
CAGUCGCCGCGGGAAUACGGAGGGGGCUAGCGUUGUUCGGAAUUACUGGGCGUAAAGCGCACGUAGGCGGCUUGGUAAGUUAGAGGUGAAAGCCCGGAGCUCAACUCCGGAAUUGCCUUUAAGACUGCCGAGCUAGCAGGUGAGAGAGGUAAGUGGAAUUCCGAGUGUAGAGGUGAAAUUCGUAGAUAUUCGGAAGAACACCAGUGGCGAAGGCGGCUUACUGGCUCAUACUGGACGCUGAGGUGCGAAAGCGUGGGGAGCAAACAGGAUUAGAGACCCCAGUAGUCCCUGUCUCUUAUAC